rnacentral:lncRNA from 1 species
GGGCCUAAUAUUUAAGCCAUGGGCCAGGUCUUCUUCAAAGUGUUUGUUGUCAGCAGUUUCCCAACCACGUGACAGGGAACUUGACUUCAGUCUGGAUCAAGGCAGUUCUCAAGCAGCAGUUGGAAGAUGAACUCAGCCACGGAGGACUAGGGAGGCAGCAGCAGCUCCCAAGCUGGAUAAAGGAAGAGGAGAUCAUUAUAAGAACCCUGAGAAACUUAUGUUGUGUCCAUGAACCCCAUUGGGUAAGGGAUUAGAAUUAUUACUUUUCCAGUCACCUUCAUUUCAAAUACAGAAGUAUAAUCUGAAA